rnacentral:rRNA from 1 species
UAAUACGGAGGGUGCAAGCGUUGUCCGGAAUCACUGGGCGUAAAGGGCGCGUAGGCGGCUCAUGAAGGCUGUGGUGAAAGUCCGGGGCUCAACCUCGGAUCGGCCGUGGCGACUCGUGGGCUGGAGCACUGUAGAGGCAGGUGGAAUUCCGGGUGUAGCGGUGGAAUGCGUAGAGAUCCGGAAGAACACCAGUGGCGAAGGCGGCCUGCUGGGCAGUGGCUGACGCUGAGGCGCGACAGCGUGGGGAGCAAACAGGAUUAGAUACCCUGGUAGUCCACGCCGUAAACGAUGGGCACUAGGUGCUUGGGGGAGCGACCCUCUGAGUGCCGGCGCUAACGCAUUAAGUGCCCCGCCUGGGGAGUACGGCCGCAAGGCUG